GACAGAGGAGCCAAGCGUUGUCCGGAAUUAUUGGGCGUAAAGAGCUCGUAGGCGGUCUGUCGCGUCUGCUGUGAAAACUCAGGGCUUAACCCUGAGCUUGCAGUGGGUACGGGCAGACUAGAGUGCGGUAGGGGAGACUGGAAUUCCUGGUGUAGCGGUGAAAUGCGCAGAUAUCAGGAGGAACACCGGUGGCGAAGGCGGGUCUCUGGGCCGUAACUGACGCUGAGGAGCGAAAGCAUGGGGAGCGAACAGG
rnacentral:rRNA from 1 species